rnacentral:rRNA from 1 species
UGGGGGAUAUUGCACAAUGGGCGAAAGCCUGAUGCAGCGACGCCGCGUGGGGGAUGAAGGCUUUCGGGUUGUAAACCUCUUUCGCUAUCGAACAAGGCCCGCUUAGGGUGGGUUGAGGGUAGGUGGAGAAGAAGCGCCGGCUAACUACGUGCCAGCAGCCGCGGUAAUACGUAGGGCGCGAGCGUUGUCCGGAAUUAUUGGGCGUAAAGGGCUUGUAGGCGGCUUGUUGCGCCUGCUGUGAAAACGCGGGGCUUAACUUCGCGCGUGCAGUGGGUACGGGCAGGCUUGAGUGUGGUAGGGGUGACUGGAAUUCCAGGUGUCGCGGUGGAAUGCGCAGAUAUCUGGAGGAACACCGAUGGCGAAGGCAGGGCACUGGGCCAUUACUGACGCUGAGGAGCGAAAGCAUGGGUAGCGAACAGG